rnacentral:rRNA from 1 species
AUACGUAGGAUCCGAGCGUUGUCCGGAUUUACUGGGCGUAAAGGGUGCGUAGGCGGCGCGGUAAGUCUCAUGUGAAAUCUCCCGGCUUAACUGGGAGGGGUCAUGGGAAACUGCCAUGCUCGAGGGCAGCAGAGGAGAGCGGAAUUCCGGGAGUAGCGGUGAUAUGCGUAGAUACCCGGAGGAACACCCGUGGCGAAGGCGACUCUCUGGGCUGCACCUGACGCUGAGGCGCGAAAGCAUGGGGAGCGAACCGGAUUAGAAACCCCGGUAGUCC